rnacentral:lncRNA from 1 species
CUAGAACCACAGCAUAAAGCAGGAUGACAGUGGUGGAAAAAACCAACAAAACAAGUAAACAAACAACCAGUCCUCUCUCUUCUCCCGCCAGGCAGAGCUUCCCAUUAACUGAUUCUAACCAGAAGCCAGAGGUCAAGGGAACCUGGCUGAUAUAGCCAGUAGAGGUCAUAGAGAGCACAGAAGUCUUCUCCCUCUCCCUGUCCCAGGUACUUUGAAAAAUGUUUAAUGCAAUGAUAAAGAGUCUGUCCAAGAGUUUAAAAUAUGAUAAAAACAAGAACGUACAUCAAUUGUUGAUCCCAUCUGAUGGCAGUCUGUCCUUGAGCAUACAGCUAAAAGGAUUUUCUCCGUAUCAAGUGGCACAACUACGGUGGAUAUUCUGGAAUCCAGUGUUUACAAUGGUGCAACUGCCAUGUUCAGUACCUCCUCCUAGAUGCCUGCAGUCAGGUACUGGGAUCCAACACCUGCUGGCCUGCCAUGGAUACUGGACCAUGAUCUAUCUUCUGCCUUUCAUGAACUCUGCAUGUGCUUGUACUAUAGUCA